CCCACCCCGCUUUCUCCCCUCCUCCUUGCCAAACCUUGCGCUUUCUAUGUCCGGGGAACCCAAGCCAAGGUGGAGGGCGCAACAGGCAAUCGCGUGGCUUUCACCAUCCUUAAUCGCAGCAGCAGAGAUUGCAUAAACCUGGAGUUAGAGAGAGAGGAACUGCGUUGGCCUCAGACGGUUCUUUAGUACCGUCUCUGCCAUUAAGGGAAAGCGGUAGAACAUCUGAGGAACCCCAAACUCCGAUUGGGGAAGAGAGAAAAGAAUCAGAUCGCGGGGAAAGCUAACUAACUUAUAAAGUCUUGCGCUGGCGGGGUGGGAGGUCGGCGGUCGUGGAGUGGGAGACUGCCCCGGACACUCCCUGCUUGCUAAAUUCGGUUUAUCUCUCUUAGCUAGAGGCGCGACGUUUUCUUGACAGGGCGAAGCAGAUCCCAACAAGGGCCGCGACGUCCCAAAGGACCGCUGCACCUUACGCCAAGCGAGCCCGUUUCUGUCAAAGCAGGGAGCGACAAUCCGGUGGCUUCGCGUUGACUGUUUCUCGGAAAGCGUCGAAGGCAAGUCCCCCCCCCCCCCAAUGUGUCAUUCAUCUUUUUAAAAAACAACAACACCUCUCAUCUCUUUUCUCCCUAGCCGCAAGGGGAACGGCCAGCGAUUCGGGGAUCGAAAGCUAAAACCAGAUUUCUCCGUUGCUGAGGAUUCCCCGAUCUCUUGGGGUUUGCCCUGGCCGGGUCUCCUCCACAGUCUGGUGCGCGCUUCACUUGGUCCUGCUUGGACAAGAGGGCUCCGAGUGCGGUUCCGGCUGUCCAUCCAUCCUUCCUUCCGCCUUCCCUGCUUCGCCUCCCCGGCAGCCCUCCAGGG